AUUGAACGCUGGCGGCAGGCCUAACACAUGCAAGUCGAGCGAGCGGCGGACGGGUGAGUAAUGUAUGGGGACUGCCCGAUAGAGGGGGAUCACUACUGGAAACGGUGGCUAAUACCGCCCUAUCGGAUAACACAUAUGGGAUUAGCUAGUGGGUGGGGUAAAGGCUCACCUUGGCGACGAUCUCUAGCUGGUCUGAGAGGAUGAUCAGCCAAACGGGGACUGAGACAGGGCCCAGACUCCUACGGAGGCAGCAGGGGGGAAUAUUGCACAAUGGGCGCAAGCCGGCUGCAGCAAUGCCGCGUGUAUGAAGAAGGCCUUAGGGUGGUAAAGUACUUUCAGCGGGGAGGCGUUACCCGCAGAAGAAGCACCGACUAACUCCGUGCCAGCAGCCGCGGUAAUAC
rnacentral:rRNA from 1 species